rnacentral:rRNA from 1 species
GGAAACUGGGGGAACUUGAGUGCAGAAGAGGAAAAGUGGAAUUUUCAAAGUGUAGCGGUGAAAUGCGUAGAUAUUUGGAGGAACACCAGUGGCGAAGGCGGACUUUCUGGUCUGUAACUGACACUGAGGCGCGAAAGCGUGGGGAGCAAACAGGAUUUAGAUACCCUGGUAGUCCACGCCGUAAACGAUGAGUGCUAAGUGUUAGGGGGUUUCCGCCCCUUAGUGCUGCAGCUAACGCAUUAAGCACUCCGCCUGGGGAGUACGGUCGCAAGACUGAAACUCAAAGGAAUUGACGGGGGCCCGCACAAGCGGUGGAGCAUGUGGUUUAAUUCGAAGCAACGCGAAGAACCUUACCAGGUCUUGACAUCCUCUGACAACCCUAGAGAUAGGGCUUUCCCCUUCGGGGGACAGAGUGACAGGUGGUGCAUGGUUGUCGUCAGCUCGUGUCGUGAGAUGUUGGGUUAAGUCCCGCAACGAGCGCAACCCUUGAUCUUAGUUGCCAGCAUUCAGUUGGGCACUCUAAGAUGACUGCCGGUGACAAACCGGAGGAAGGUGGGGAUGACGUCAAAUCAUCAUGCCCCUUAUGACCUGGGCUACACACGUGCUACAAUGGACGGUACAAAGGGCAGCGAGACCGCGAGGUUUAGCCAAUCCCAUAAAACCGUUCUCAGUUCGGAUUGUAGGCUGCAACUCGCCUACAUGAAGCUGGAAUCGCUAGUAAUCGCGGAUCAGCAUGCCGCGGUGA